CCAUGCUGCCUAUCUAGGAGGCUUGGAGACUGGUACUUCUGGGGCAGUGAGGAGUGGCUCAAGGGAUGCUACUCCAGGCCUUUGAGCUCCAGGUGGCCCUCUCCUGCCCUGCGGUGGCCAACUGAGCUACUGAGACCUCCAGGCAUUUGUUGAAAAAUAGAUCUGUGCCCCACAGUGGGACAGGAGGUUAGUGGCUUCAAAUCUCAGAGAAGUUCCCGGUUCUGUGUGCAUGACUGGGAAUGGGGUGGGGAGGCCGUACUGCCCUCUGCCCAGGGUCUGGGUGAAGCUCGAGGUGAG
rnacentral:lncRNA from 1 species